UACGUAGGGUGCAAGCGUUGUCCGGAAUUAUUGGGCGUAAAGAGCUCGUAGGCGGUUUGUCGCGUCUGCUGUGAAAACUCGGGGCUUAACUCCGGGCCUGCAGUGGGUACGGGCAGACUAGAGUGCGGUAGGGGAGACUGGAAUUCCUGGUGUAGCGGUGAAAUGCGCAGAUAUCAGGAGGAACACCGAUGGCGAAGGCAGUUCUCUGGGCCGUAACUGACGCUGAGGAGCGAAAGCGUGGGGAGCGAACAGG
rnacentral:rRNA from 1 species